rnacentral:rRNA from 1 species
UGGGGAAUAUUGGACAAUGGGGGCAACCCUGAUCCAGCAAUGCCGCGUGUGUGAAGAAGGCCUUCGGGUUGUAAAGCACUUUAGGCUGGGAAGAAGGUAAGUAGUUUAAGAGAUGGCUCACUUGACUGUACCGGCAGAAUAAGCACCGGCUAACUCUGUGCCAGCAGCCGCGGUAAUACAGAGGGUGCGAGCGUUAAUCGGAAUUACUGGGCGUAAAGGGCGCGUAGGUGGUUUGUUAAGAUGGAUGUGAAAUCCCUGGGCUUAACCUAGGAACUGCAUCGAUGACUGAUGAGCUAGAGUACUGUAGAGGGUAGUGGAAUUUCCGGUGUAGCGGUGAAAUGCGUAGAGAUCGGAAGGAACACCAGUGGCGAAGGCGGCUACCUGGACAGAUACUGACACUGAGGCGCGAGAGCGUGGGGAGCAAACAGGAUUAGAUACCCCGGUAGUCC